AGAAUCAUAACCCCCACAUAACCAGGAACCCCAUAGCCAUACCUUUCACCUUCAUCGCAUCACAUUUCAAGCUUAAUCGCUCAUCUAAAUCGCACAGCCUUCUCCGAUUUCAACCUAAAUCACACAAGGAAGCAUCCAAUUUUGCAUAACUCGCUCAACAGUCGGUCAACAAAUUUCUUUCAUAUAGCACAGAUUAAGGUUAAAACGCAGAGUCUUCAAAUCUGUGCCUUCAACUGUGGAAGACUCAAUAACAGUCUUCUUGGAAGAGCGGUUGCUGUCAUGCGGCAUCAUCUUGUAUCGAGCAGGGUUCAUCCGUUUUAAGGUUUGUGAAAAUUGCUUGACAGAUUCAUCUUCUUUCUCAAUACUUAGUAGCGAAGCUUGGCCAGAAUUGUAUUGCAAUGUUGCCUCCAACAUAGAUUCUGUCACUACAACCCUCUUUUCAUUUGAGCAAGGGAAUUCAUAACCUUUACUGUUCUUUCGUAUCACCAAGAACUUGCUGCAACUCAGCUACCUCUUGUUCCAUAUGUUCAAUCCUUGCACUCAAUUACAGAAUUAUCUUGUUUAGCCAUCUCGAUAAGCGUUGUCUCCAACUUCUCAGCUCUAUGUGUAGCAGAUCUUUUUUCUUCCAUCAUCAAGCACAACUGGGCCUUCAACCACACAACCUGAUCUUGAAUAUCUGGAUGAGAAUCUACUUCUGAAUCGAUGGUUGUGAUAUCAAGAGAGUGAUCAAGAAGUUUUCUGCUUUUAUCCAGAAGAGAAGUUUUGUAAUGGAUUUGAAGAAGUCUUGAGCUUUCUGUGUAAAUCUGGUCAAUGCAGCAGCAGAGACUGUGAUUUUGAAGCUGUUUUUGUUUAAUUUUGAAGCUAUGGAUAGCACAAAGAUUUUGAUUUCACUUGUUUGAUUGAUUACCUCGUCAGCUUUUAUCAGGUUUUGGAUUUGGUCAACAUCCUGUUUUGUAGACCUAAUUGUUGUAACAGAUGUUGUGAUUGCUAUUGUAAUUGUUUUAAAUUUGUGCAA